CAGUAGCCACGGGAAUACGUAGGUGGCAAGCGUUGUCCGGAAUUAUUGGGCGUAAAGGGCCCGCAGGCGGUUUCUUAAGUCUGAUGUGAAAGCCCCCGGCUCAACCGGGGAGGGUCAUUGGAAACUGGGAAACUUGAGUGCAGAAGAGGAGAGUGGAAUUCUACGUGUAGCGGUGAAAUGCGUAGAGAUGUGGAGGAACACCAGUGGCGAAGGCGACUCUCUGGUCUGUAACUGACGCUGAGGAGCGAAAGCGUGGGGAGCGAACAGGAUUAGAUACCCCAGUAGUCCCUGUCUCUUAUAA
rnacentral:rRNA from 1 species